rnacentral:rRNA from 1 species
CUAACACAUGCAAGUCGAACGGAGUUAUGCAGAGGAAGUUUUCGGAUGGAAUCGGCGUAACUUAGUGGCGGACGGGUGAGUAACGCGUGGGAAACCUGCCCUGUACCGGGGGAUAACACUUAGAAAUAGGUGCUAAUACCGCAUAAGCGCACAGCUUCACAUGAAGCAGUGUGAAAAACUCCGGUGGUACAGGAUGGUCCCGCGUCUGAUUAGCCAGUUGGCAGGGUAACGGCCUACCAAAGCGACGAUCAGUAGCCGGCCUGAGAGGGUGAACGGCCACAUUGGGACUGAGACACGGCCCAAACUCCUACGGGAGGCAGCAGUGGGGAAUAUUGCACAAUGGGGGAAACCCUGAUGCAGCGACGCCGCGUGAGUGAAGAAGUAUUUCGGUAUGUAAAGCUCUAUCAGCAGGGAAGAAAAUGACGGUACCUGACUAAGAAGCCCCGGCUAACUACGUGCCAGCAGCCGCGGUAAUACGUAGGGGGCAAGCGUUAUCCGGAUUUACUGGGUGUAAAGGGAGCGUAGACGGCAUGACAAGCCAGAUGUGAAAACCCAGGGCUCAACCCUGGGACUGCAUUUGGAACUGCCAGGCUGGAGUGCAGGAGAGGUAAGCGGAAUUCCUAGUGUAGCGGUGAAAUGCGUAGAUAUUAGGAGGAACACCAGUGGCGAAGGCGGCUUACUGGACUGUAACUGACGUUGAGGCUC